UACGGAGGGUGCAAGCGUUGUCCGGAUUUAUUGGGUUUAAAGGGUGCGCAGGUGGUUUAUUAAGUCAGUGGUGAAAGACGGUCGCUCAACGAUUGCAGUGCCAUUGAAACUGGUAGACUUGAGUAAAGUAGAGGUGGGCGGAAUUGAUAGUGUAGCGGUGAAAUGCAUAGAUAUUAUCAAGAACUCCAAUUGCGUAGGCAGCUCACUUGGCUUUUACUGACACUCAUGC
rnacentral:rRNA from 1 species